rnacentral:rRNA from 2 species
CUCGUAGGUGGUUUGUCGCGUCGUUUGUGUAAGCCCGCAGCUUAACUGCGGGACUGCAGGCGAUACGGGCAUAACUUGAGUGCUGUAGGGGAGACUGGAAUUCCUGGUGUAGCGGUGGAAUGCGCAGAUAUCAGGAGGAACACCGAUGGCGAAGGCAGGUCUCUGGGCAGUAACUGACGCUGAGGAGCGAAAGCAUGGGUAGCGAACA